CAAUAGCGUAUAUUAAAGUUGUUGCAGUUAGAACGCUCGUAGUCGGAUUUCGGGUCGGGCCGACCGGUCUGCCGAUGGGUACGCACUGGUCGGCGCGUCCUUCCUCUCGGAGACUGUUCCUACUCUUAACUGAGCGGGAGCAGGAUACGGGACUUUUACUUUGAAAAAAUCAGAGUGUUUCAAGCAGGCAGCUCGCUCUUGCAUGGAUUAGCAUGGGAUAAUGAAAUAGGACUUUGGUGCUAUUUUGUUGGUUUCGAACACCGAAGUAAUGAUGAGAAGGGGCAGUCAGGGGCACUCGUAUUCCGCCGAGAGAGGUGAAAUUCUCAGACCAGCGGAAGACGAACCACUGCGAAAGCAUUUGCCAGGGAUGUUUUCACUG
rnacentral:rRNA from 1 species